GACGAACGCUGGCGGCGUGCUUAACACAUGCAAGUCACGGGGGCCCGCAAGGGCAACCGGCGAACGGGUGCGUAACACGUGAGCAACUUACCGAUUUGUGGGGGAUAGCCUGCCUAACGGCAGGGUAAUACCGCAUACGCUCGUUGGGCGGAGUCACCUGACGAGGAAACCUCCGGGGCAAAUCGAGGGGCUCGCGGCCUAUCAGCUAGUUGGUGCGGGUAAUGGCCCACCAAGGCGACGACGGGGAGCUGGUCUGAGGGGGAUGGCCAGCCACAUUGGGACUGAGAAACGGCCCAGACUCCUACGGGAGGCAGCAGUGGGGAAUCUUGCGCAAUGGACGAAAGUCUGACGCAGCGACGCCGCGUGAGGGAGGAAGCUCUUCGGGGUGUAAACCUCUGUUGCCCGGGACGAAUGUGCAGAUUUAUCUGC
rnacentral:rRNA from 1 species